UAGUCUGUUCUCCACUUGCAGCCCCAAAGCACCCUGCGUAGGACUAGAGGAUCCUACAGAACCUGGAUGAAUGUGUCUGGGGUUUCACAGGCAUUCCUGGAGUGGCCUUGGGAUUAUUACCCUGUCAUCCAGGACUCUGCCCAGUCCUUUCAUCUCCUACCCAGGACCUAGGACUCUAGUCUAUCUGUGUGCUAUGAUGUGGUGCUGCCAUGGAUCCUCAUCCCAGUGUAGUGUCAGUGACAGGAAGUGGACAGGAUGCACGCUGUCAUAAGACUCCUUCAGAGCCUCCAGACGGUGCUGUCUGAAGGCCUCCCUGCCCACUAUAAAGGAGGAAGAACAGCCUUGCUAGAGCUCCAUGCUCCUGGUGACUCCAACCUUUGAGGAUCUGUGUAGAUGUCAAGAUGGGAGACUGCUCUGAAAGCCACCCUUCCUCCCAUCUAGAUAGCAAAUCACCUGUCCAUGCUAUGGCCCUGACCUCCUCUCUUGCCUCUGGGGCAGGGGGGACUUCUCUCUAUGCGCCCCUGUUUAAAGCUGGUUCUGUUGAGCACAGCUGGCAAGUGAAUAGAAGUUAUCCCUGAGUCUGGAGCCUACAGCCUCUCUUCCCUCAGCCAGUGUGAGUUUACCUGCCAACACAGUGCCCACCACUGCUGCAAGCUCUCUCAACAAUCCUACAGACUCCUUCCAUCGCUAAGCACUCACUUCCUCACUCCUACCCAGUUCACCUGGCCACUCCUGAGUGGGAGCACCCUCAGCAGCCUCUCAGGCAGUGGGAGCACCCUCAGCAGCCUCUCAGGCAGUGGGAGCACCCUCAGCAGCCUCUCAGGCAGUGGGAGCACCCUCAGCAGCCUCUCAGGCAGUGGGAGCACCCUCAGCAGCCUCUCGAGCUGUGGCAGCACCCCCAGCAGUCUCUCAGCUGCCUGACUUGGAGAUAUCUGGGCCAGGUGGGCCUGGCUGCCUUUAACCAAAGGGAGGGUAUAAGAGUAAAUUCUGGUCUUGUUAUGCUGUGUGUGACCCUGUUCCACCUUCUCGGUCCCUGUUUUCUGGUCCCAUUCAUCAGCACUCAACCACAUCUUGCUCAACUGCCCUCCUUAACAUACUGCCUUCCUGCCUGCGGCUCCCACCUCUGCCUGGAUCCCCAGCCUCACUUCUUUCACAUCCCUGGCCCAUACUCCCUAGAAAGCUUUUGGGCCAGAGGCCUUGUGUUUUGGAGGGAGCAUGGGAUACAAUGGUCUUCCUGCUGCCCCCCACAACCUCACCCAACCAGGCAGCUGAGGAGCUAGCGACCCCACAACCCACCAACCCUAUGGCUGGCUGGUGGCUGCCUCACCACACAGGCUAGCCAGGAGAAGCCACCAGGCCUCCCAGCUGCAUCUUCUCACUGAAGCCUGUAUCAGAGAUAAAGGGCACUAUCAGUCCCCCGUUCGUGUGCCAGAAGCUGCUUGCAAUAUGAGAGAGAUGUUUAAUUUAUCUCAGGAACUAGGCACGAGUUAUAAAAAUGGUAAUUUCUUG
rnacentral:lncRNA from 1 species